rnacentral:rRNA from 1 species
GGGGAAUAUUGGACAAUGGGGGCAACCCUGAUCCAGCAAUGCCGCGUGGAUGAAGAAGGUCUUCGGAUUGUAAAGUCCUUUCGGCGGGGACGAUGAUGACGGUACCCGCAGAAGAAGCCCCGGCUAACUUCGUGCCAGCAGCCGCGGUAAUACGAAGGGGGCUAGCGUUGCUCGGAAUGACUGGGCGUAAAGGGCGCGUAGGCGGUUUGAUCAGUUAGGUGUGAAAUUCCUGGGCUUAACCUGGGGGCUGCACUUAAUACGGUCAGACUUGAGUGUGAAAGAGGGUCGUGGAAUUCCCAGUGUAGAGGUGAAAUUCGUAGAUAUUGGGAAGAACACCGGUGGCGAAGGCGGCGACCUGGUUCAUUACUGACGCUCAGGUGCGAAAGCGUGGGGAGCAAAC